GCAAUAGAAGGGGAGUGUCGUGCGCACACAGCGCAAUUAGUAGGAAAUUGGGAAUCAACAACACUAUUUAAAGCGAUCUAGCGGUAACCUGUAAAUGGUCUAUGGUUUCUCUGUUUCUCCCUCAUUUGCUAAUUCUGGUUCGACGAAGAAGAAGAAGAAGUAGAGCUUUUGCUUCAGACAAAGAAACACUCGAUCGAAGAGCUGGGAGCUUGAUAGCCUCAACUUUAUCCAUCUACCAGUAUCUCAUUUCCCGAACAUCUUCGAGGGGGAAGAAAUUUGUUCCUCAGACCAUUGAUGUAGACAAUGUACAAAUUCAUGUUACUCUGAUUCAAAAUGCUCACUCUGAUAACCGAAUAGCGAUAAAAACCGGAGAAAUUCCACAAACUGCGGCCACUGUAGUUCAAUUUGACAAGUUGCGGGGGGAAAGGAGCCCACUGAUCAAGGGGAAAAGAAUAGGUUCAAAGUAAGCCAGCUUGAGAGACCGGAACUGGAUUGCUUCUUGGAGGAGCAUGCACGCUUUUCUCAAAAAGAGGAUGAAAUCUUCUCCCAAGCUUUGGAAAUUGGAAAUCAUCUGGCAAGAUUUAAAGAUUAUUUACAUCUUUUAUAAUAAACAUAUGCUUGAGAAUCCUUUUCUUAGUUAAUACCAAUGGUUUUACUUUUAUUUCAUUUUUUGGGGGUAGGUAAUGAGAGUUAAUUUUUAGUCAUUAGCGAGCGGAACAGAGGUUCUGGCUGGGGUUUGUGGUAUUGAUAUUCUGUUCAAACAUUUGAUAAUGGGGAACUUGUAAAUUCAUAUUCUGUUCUUGUUUUUAGAUUGUUGGGACUUUCUUUGAAAACAUAAAGUAGUCGGAAGUUUUCAUCUGUAUUGUUGAUAACUUUGAUAUUGAUAUUUUGUUCAAAUAUUUGAUACUGGUGAACUUGUAAAUUCACAUUCUGUUCUUGUAUUACGAUUGUUCGACCUUUCUUUUAAGAUACAAAGAAGUCUGAAGUAUUCAUUUCAGUGUUGCUGAUAACUUGGUUAUAGAGAACCUCAUCAAACCAGGUAGAAAGGCCAUGGACAUGGGGGUUAGUGUCUGACAUGAGGACAACAACGUGGUGACUGGUGUAAAACAAAAAAGGCAUAUAAAGAAGACAGAAGUAUCCAAUAUAUUGGCACUUUUCAUAAAAUAUACUGAUACUAUUUAUGCUCCAGGAGGAUAUUUCUAAAUCAAUCUCAACUCUCUAUGGGUGCAUCGAAGACCACAAGUUUGAACAACAGCUGAACUGUGUUGAAUCCUCAGACGCGACUGAUUAUGUAGAAGAUGGCAGCAAGUCUACAUCAGUUCCCAGUGUGUCAUUUGCAAUGGAAUCCUAGCAGAUAACUCAAUCACACCUUAUCUUGAUAUGGUCAUUAAUCAUUAUUGUGAACAGACAAAAUUUUGAUAAAGAAAUGCUUGUCACAGAGAAGCUCAUACCAAAGGAUUCUUGCAAUGGAGAAAAAGGGACUGCAAGUUGUGGAGUGUGAGAUCAAUUUUCCUGUAGAUCUGAUCUUUGGUGCAGCAGUAUGCCUUGUAUGUUAUGAUUGCAGAAACAUAACAGAGACAUAUGAAGCUUUUUCUUGCAUCAUUCUGUACGUUGAGAAUAUUGCUAUGAAUAUUUUGCAUUGUUGAGUUCUGAUUUCA